UUGGCAUCCAUGGGUUGCAAAUUGCAACAGACUGAAUACUCCUCCCCUCACCCCUCCCUUCCCAAGUGUGUAGGACAACCACAGUGGCCUUCAGAUGCCAGUAGCUACUUCCAAAUUUAUGUCAUCAUCUACGACCACAUCGAGUAGCCAUAAUUCGUCAAGUGCUGAGGUUCCUUUAGAUAGAUAGAUUUAGAAAUUGCAUUUAGUUAGCCAGUAAAACUAUAGGUCAUAGCUUACAUGUAAAAUAGCAACUAUUAUUGUUACUUGUUCCGCAUUUUAUUGCUAACGUUAGCUAGCUGCUUUGCAUGCUAAUACAAGCUAACAUUAGCAAAGUAAUGGUAAAAAGCUACUUUAAUCUAGGCAUUUAGUCUGAUAGUGACAUAGCGUUAGCAGGAUACAUAUCUUUUUUCUCCAUUUUCAGAGUCAAAGACCAGAUAGACCACGUAACGUUACGGCGGUUAGAGGGAGAGGGGGAGAAAGAGGGCGGAAAGGCAAAGGUGGUGGAGCAAUCAGGGCCAGGCGAGGGAGGGGAAUUACCAGAGCGUCAGUUUCAAGAGAAGAAGAGGAGAGGGUGGAAGCCCUCCACACAGACUGAAAAGAAGUAACGAAGACUUCUUCAAGAGAUGAGCCUGGAGGAGCGCAGGGAGCCACCCGCCCAACUGCUUGAGAGGCAGCCUAGGCUACUUUUUGAUGCCUUGAUGAUGCAUCAGCACAGGCAUAGUGCCACACCUUUUGCUGGAGUGCCAGGGGUACCAUGGUGUACUAUAGGGAUAUGCCUAUGGACCAGGGAGAGGAAAUGCUGUGGCCAGGAGCCAGACAGCUCUGUGAGCCUACUACCACACUUCUCCCAGUACUGCCUUGAAGAAGGUUUUAUACGCACUCACAGGCAGUACUGGGAAAACACUACGGUAUUAGGCCAAAUAAGGGAUCCUGGGGAUGACAACUGGGAGUACCGUUAUGCAGCCUAUUGAUAUUUUAUCUAUUGGCAACAUGGUUCUUUAGGCCAGGGAAACUGACUUGUCAUUGCCAGCCACUGAGUUUGGAAGAUCAGGCACAAAUUCACUGAUCCCCAAGCACAGUUCACUGGUUUCACAUCUGGCCUCUGAGUUUCCUUCCAGGCCUUCUGGCAUGUUCAUACAGUACCACAAGUACUCGCACACUUGCCUGUUCAUCAUCAAGGCGUCAAACCUAAUGCUAUUUAUUUGUCCCAUUUUUGAUAGUUUAUAUAUUAUUAUACUUGUUCUUCUAUAUCUUUUCUAUAUUUUUUGUUUAUAUAUUCAUAAUCUAUGUAUUUAUGUUUGUUCUAUUGAAGUUUGAAUUUAAAGUGCAAUAACUAAUGAAUAAAACAUGAUAAUCAGA